rnacentral:rRNA from 1 species
GAUGAACGCUGGCGGCGUGCCUAAUACAUGCAAGUCGAGCGAACAGAUGAGGAGCUUGCUUCUCUGACGUUAGCUGCGGACGGGUGAGUAACACGUGGAUAACCUACCUAUAAGCCUGGGAUAAACUCGGGAAACCGGAGCUAAUACCGGAUAAUAUAUUGCACCGCAUGGUUCAAUAGCGAAAGACGGUUUUGCUGUCACUUAUAGUUGGAUCUGCGCCGCAUUAGCUAGUUGGUAAGGUAACGGCUUACCAAGGCAACGAUGCGUAGCCGACCUGAGAGGGUGGUCGGCCACACUGGAACUGAGACACGGUCCAGACUCCUACGGUGGGCAGCAGUAGGGAAUCUUCCGCAAUGGGCGAGAGCCGGACGGAGCAACGCCGCGUGAGUGAUGAAGGUCUUCGGAUCGUAGAACUCUGUUAUUAGGGAAGAACAAAUGUGUAAGUAACUAUGCACGUCUUGACGGUACCUAAGCAGAAAGCCACGGCUAACUACGUG